CGAAUGAAUUGGACUUUAUUUGCGCAGUAUAGGUGGGAGGCGUUGAAAAAGGUCUUGUGGGAAUAUUGGAGUCAUCAGUGAGAUACCACUCUUGUAAUGUUAGAUUUCUAACUUUGUAUCAUUAUCUGGUCAGAGGACAGUUUCAGGCGGGCAGUUUGACUGGGGCGGUCGCCUCCCAAAGGGUAACGGAGGCGCACAAAGGUUUCCUCUGAACGUGUAGAAAUCGUAUCUAGAGUGUAAAGGCAUAAGGAAGCUUGACUGUGAGACCUACAAGUCGAGCAGGGACGAAAGUCGGUCUUAGUGAUCUGACGGUGCUGAGUGGAAAGGCCGUCACUCAACGGAUAAAAGUUACUCUAGGGUAACAAGGCUGA
rnacentral:rRNA from 1 species